UACGUAGGCAGCGAGCGUUGUUCGGAGUUACUGGGCGUAAAGGGUGCGUAGGCGGGUCUUUAAGUCAGGGGUGAAAUCCUGGAGCUCAACUCCAGAACUGCCUUUGAUACUGGCGAUCUUGAGUCCGGGAGAGGUGAGUGGAACUGCGAGUGUAGAGGUGAAAUUCGUAGAUAUUCGGAAGAACACCAGUGGCGAAGGCGGCUCACUGGACCGGCAUUGACGCUGAGGUGCGAAAGCGUGGGGAGCAAACAGGG
rnacentral:rRNA from 1 species